rnacentral:rRNA from 1 species
CGGGGCGUAGCAAUACGUCAGCGGCGGACGGGUGAGUAACACGUGGGAACAUGCCCUUCGGUACGGAACAACUCAGGGAAACUUGAGCUAAUACCGUAUGCGCCGGCAACGGGAAAGAUUUAUCGCCGAAGGAUUGGCCCGCGUCCGAUUAGCUAGUUGGUGAGGUAACGGCCCACCAAGGCACCGAUCGGUAGCUGGUUUGAGAGAACGACCAGCCACACUGGGACUGAGACACGGCCCAG